UGUAAAGAGGAGCAGCAUGGCAGCUGGAUGAGUGCGGUCAGUUAAUUAAUGCUGCUUGCUUAAUUUCGUGUUACUGAUUAAGUGUUUAUACUUAAAGUUAGAUGAUAUGUUGGUGUUUUAUGGCUCGCGAAUUUGCAAUAACUGCAUUUAUCAGGCAAUCACACGUUACGUCACACGCUUAUGCUUGUACCUGCGGUCGCUCGCGCUGUAUCCAUGAUUUAAAGAAGAAAAUAGACUCUAACUCCCUUGUAAGAAAAAGUCAAGCAGUGUAAGUUUUUGAGCCCUUCAAAUUAAACAUAGUGAUGGUGAUCUUGUCAAUGCUGAGAUUUUAAUGCAUCAACAGCCAUUACAUCUGUCUGGAUCAGGAUUGAACAAGAAACAGACAACAAGAGUUGUCAGGUCAGAAACGUGAUGACACACAAACAUAAGAAACUUCACAGGCGGCAAUUUCUUUUUCCACCGGUGGGUGCUCAUCACAACCUCCAGCUUUACUUAGCAACCCCUGGUGCUCUGGAGCGCUCAAAAGCUUUGAAGAGGUGGAAAGCAGUGCAGUCACGUUUUCGUGUGAUUUUAGAUGCGAAUAUUAAAGUUAAAGGCAGAUCACCGUGCAACUUGGUGAAGUCAUGUGUCUUUCCAGAUGCCAAAAUCUGUACCCCUCAAAAAGACUUUAUUAAAUGCCAUGAUAGCCAAGAUGAGCCUGAAGAGGAGAUUUGGGAAGAUGCUGUUUCAUAAGUCUUUGCUUUGCCAGAUUAUCUGUGGUAGGGGUGUCUGCCAACGUGAUGCCUUGCUGGUCUGGUUUGAGUUUGAAGUCUCUCACAGACAGUCCAGAAGGUCUGGAGUCCAUCUUAGCUUUCAUUGAUGCUGUCAUCAUAUUUUAAGUGCAUAAGCCAGAAUGGAUGGGUGGUGGUGACCAUAAAAAGACUGUCAACUAAACCAACAACAAAAUUCAUAUUUGCAGUUAUAAAUAAAAUGACUUUUAAACAUGA